AUCAUCGUGAGAUUUCUUUUCUAAGUGCUGAAGAAAGCUACUAAGCAAGUUCAUGUAUGUACAGUAGUUCUAGUUGCUGCUUUUAGAGAAGCUCCAGUUGUAGGUAAGCUACAUUGCCAAUCUCAUCUUACUAAAGUUUUUAUUCAACUUCUACAUUUUGGACUGUAAAUUUCCAUUACUAUCUCUUCUGCCUUAUUUUAGCGAAUGUAAUUAGUUGCGAUGGCGUUCCACAACUCUUUAUGUUUUUAGUCUUUUUAUUUACUAGCAUUUUGUUCCGCUUCGAUACUCAAAGAACCACAUAUGCACUUUGAGACUAUUAUGCUCAGAAUUAGCGAAUACCUUAAGACAUACUAAAAACAUUUUUUUAGCUAGGAUAGUUAUGAAAAAAGAGACUGUUAAUCAGUACUGAUAUGCAUAACAUCAAUGCUAGAAUCUUAUUUUUCAUUCUAUAUAAUAUGAACAACAUGAUUUUUUUGCAGGUCAUAAAUUGCUUGGAAAAAUGCAACAUCGAUGCUAUCAUCCUGACGAGACUAUGACCGGUGAUGCAGAUUAUUUUGUAUGCUGAUGGUGCCAUGGCGGCUGCAUGCCGGAGGGCUGCAUACUCGACGUCUACAUCGCCGUCUUCAACAAGGAUAAGAUCUCCCUCGCUAGUCACGACGAGGUCCGCGCCAGCACUCCCAUUCCCAUUCUUUCUCCCUCCCUAGGAAUUGGGGUUUCUAUUGCUUUUUUUUGUUUGGUGUGUACCUCUGCAGUAUAUGGUGGCGGGCGAGCGGAACUUCUUUCCACUGCUCCUGGAGGCGUCAAGCCCUCUCUAGUGAUCGGAUGGGAGUGCCAGGUUCAGUCCCAUCUUGGCUUUAGUAUGUCUCUCUACUUCUAUUCUACUGAAUAUUGUUCUUGGAGCUUCAAAGGCAAUUGCUUUACUGGUGAACAUGUGUAGGAGGAUUUGUGGUUUAGCAUUAUUAGACCUCUGUAAAUGCAUGUCUAGGAGGUUUCUUGGAGCUGUAGUGUAUUAUGUAAGUCCAUCAAAGCUAUUUGCUUUAUUGGUGAACAUGUAUAGGAGGAUUCAUUGUUAGACCUCUGUACAUACAUGUUUGCACUGUCCUAUAAAAAGACUCUCCUUUGGUGGUGAGCAUAAAAAGGAAGAAAGUUACUACUCACAAUAAAAUUUAAUUGGGUAAACUGUAGAAGCUAACUUUGUUAGAGAAAGGUUCAUAACCCACCCUUUCUUUCUUGCAGGAUUGAGAAGAUUGUGACUUUGAAACCUUUUAGAUGUACAGAAAGAAACCAGAUUGUGUUUGUACAUAAUGAUGGUGAGAAGAUCAAAUAUAUGGUAUGGGAAGUGGUUUCACUGAUUGUACUUGUACAACAAAAGAGCAGAUUGUGUUUCCUUUUAGAAGAUAACUUUUGUCGGCAAUUGUGUUGCUUGCAAGCAGAAUAUUUAUUGUAUUGUGUUGCUUGCAAAAGAGUUUAAUAUUGUAUACGGUGCUACAUGUCAUAAUAUUUUUAGUUUCUGUUAGUUCUGUUUAUUUGCAUCUUGUGCUUUUAGUCCAUGGACACAUGCAACAUAUGGAACCACAAACUAGGUGUAAUCCGAUGUUCCCUUGGUAGAACCUGCUUUGAGAAAAUAGUACCAAGUGUUCCAAGCUUUCCACUAUCUUUUGGUGAUUAUUUUGUUGUUCU
rnacentral:lncRNA from 1 species